rfam:Tetrahymena thermophila SB210 genomic scaffold scf_8254658, whole genome shotgun sequence.
GGGGUGAUGGCUCAAUGGUAGAGCAUCUGACUACGGAUCAGAAGGUUGCAGGUUCGAGUCCUGCUCAUCUCG